rnacentral:sRNA from 1 species
GCCGGGCGUGGUGGUGUAGGCCUGUAAUCCCUGCAGCUCAGGAGGCUGAGGCAGGAGGAUCGCAAGUUCAAAGUCAGCCUCAGCAACUUAGUGAGGCCCUAAGCAACUCAGCGAAACCCUGUCUCUA